rnacentral:tRNA from 1 species
CGCCAAGAAGCUGUAGAAUAGCACCAGCCUUUUAAGCCGGAGAUAGGUGAACACACCCACCCUUGACGA